UACGUAGGGGGCAAGCGUUGUCCGGAAUCAUUGGGCGUAAAGCGCGUGUAGGCGGCUCGAUAAGUCUGCUGUGAAAGUCCAGGCUCAACCCUGGGAUGCCGGUGGAUACUGUCGAGCUCGAGUCCGGAAGAGGCGAGUGGAAUUCCUGGUGUAGCGGUGAAAUGCGCAGAUAUCAGGAGGAACACCAAUGGCGAAGGCAGCUCGCUGGGACGUGACUGACGCUGAGACGCGAAAGCGUGGGGAGCAAACAGGAU
rnacentral:rRNA from 1 species